AUUGAACGCUGGCGGCAUGCCUUACACAUGCAAGUCGAACGGCAGCACGGGUGCUUGCACCUGGUGGCGAGUGGCGAACGGGUGAGUAAUACAUCGGAACAUGUCCUGUAGUGGGGGAUAGCCCGGCGAAAGCCGGAUUAAUACCGCAUACGAUCUACGGAUGAAAGCGGGGGACCUUCGGGCCUCGCGCUAUCGGGUUGGCCGAUGGCUGAUUAGCUAGUUGGUGGGGUAAAGGCCUACCAAGGCGACGAUCAGUAGCUGGUCUGAGAGGACGACCAGCCACACUGGGACUGAGACACGGCCCAGACUCCUACGGGAGGCAGCAGUGGGGAAUUUUGGACAAUGGGCGAAAGCCUGAUCCAGCAAUGCCGCGUGUGUGAAGAAGGCCUUCGGGUUGUAAAGCACUUUUGUCCGGAAAGAAAUCCUUGGCUCUAAUACAGUCGGGGGAUGACGGUACCGGAAGAAUAAGCACCGGCUAACUACGU
rnacentral:rRNA from 1 species